UUACAAUGUAGAGUUUGAUCCUGGCUCAGGAUGAACGCUAGCUACAGGCUUAACACAUGCAAGUCGAGGGGCAGCAUUGAGAUAGCUUGCUAUUUCAGAUGGCGACCGGCGCACGGGUGAGUAACGCGUAUCCAACCUU
rnacentral:rRNA from 1 species